rnacentral:snoRNA from 1 species
UUAGCACUUUCAUAGGUCUUCCCCCAGGCUGUGGGGCCAGGAUUGGUAGCUGAUGCUGAGAAAAACCCUUUGGGUACAUCCUUGUCCUGGGACGGUUCCAGUGACAGCUGUCACUCAAUGGGACAGAG